GGCAGUCAGGGAAGAGGAGGAAGGAGAGAGGACUGGAGCUUGGAGGUGUGUUGUGAGAUUUGAAAGACCAGAGAAUUGAAGUAAGGGAGAACCUGCCCCAGCGGGGGAGGGAGACUCCCUCCCCCAGGGUCUAAGGACUGAAGGUACUCCGCCCAAUGGGGAAGAGGGGCAAUGAUGGCAAUUGUGUAUGGAGCAGCACUGAGAGAAAUUGAUUCAUGAUGUUUCUGCUGGGGCAAUGUGGCCCACAUCAUCCCCUAUAGAGCUGUGACAGAAAAGCUUCCAUAUUCAUAGAGGAGGUACAACAACAGAGCAUCAAAAAUGAACAACAGGCCAACAGCAAAGUCAAAUCCUAGGAAUGUAUCUUCGGAAAAAAUAGUAAAGGAAAAAUAUGCAUGUUAGGAAGAGGUAUCAAUAUAUGUCAUCUUAGAGUUCCAGACCAUAGUCUGAACUUUUAAUAUUUUGCAUUAAAGUAUUUUGUAGCUGAA